rnacentral:rRNA from 1 species
CCUACGGGAGGCAGCAGUGGGGAAUAUUGGACAAUGGGCGGAAGCCUGAUCCAGCAAUGCCGCGUGAGUGAUGAAGGCCUUAGGGUUGUAAAGCUCUUUUACCAGGGAUGAUAAUGACAGUACCUGGAGAAUAAGCUCCGGCUAACUCCGUGCCAGCAGCCGCGGUAAUACGGAGGGAGCUAGCGUUGUUCGGAAUUACUGGGCGUAAAGCGUACGUAGGCGGUUAUUCAAGUCAGAGGUGAAAGCCUGGAGCUCAACUCCAGAACUGCCUUUGAAACUAGAUAGCUAGAAUCUUGGAGAGGUGAGUGGAAUUCCGAGUGUAGAGGUGAAAUUCGUAGAUAUUCGGAAGAACACCAGUGGCGAAGGCGACUCACUGGACAAGUAUUGACGCUGAGGUACGAAAGCGUGGGGAGCAAACAGGAUUAGAUACCCUGGUAGUCCACGCCGUAAACGAUGAUAACUAGCUGUUCGGGCUCUACGAGCUUGAGUGGCGCAGCUAACGCAUUAAGUUAUCCGCCUGGGGAGUACGGUCGCAAGAUUAAAACUCAAAGGAAUUGACGG